rnacentral:lncRNA from 1 species
AACCGAGAGGUUGUGAGUUCGAGUCUCCCCAAGAGCAAAGGUGGGAAGUUCUUGGAGGGAAGGAUGCCGGGGGUCUAUUUAGAAACAGCCUCUCUACCAUAGGGUAGGGGUAAGUUCUGCGUACAUACUACCCUCCCCAGACCCCACUAAGUGGGAUUAUAAUGGGUUGUACUUUUUUAACAGCCUCUCUACCCCAGGGUAGGGGUAAGGUCUGCGUACAUACUACCCUCCCCAUAUCCCACUAAGUGGGAUUAUAUUGGGUUGUACUUUUUUCUAUUGAAACUAGAGCGUCUAGAUUGAAUUACAAAGUGAUUCUGAUGAUUUGGAUGUCCUAAAUACUUUCU